rnacentral:rRNA from 1 species
GAUGAACGCUGGCGGCGUGCUUAACACAUGCAAGUCGAACGAUGAACCAGGUGCUUGCACUUGGGGAUUAGUGGCGAACGGGUGAGUAACACGUGAGUAACCUGCCCUUGACUCUGGGAUAAGCCUGGGAAACUGGGUCUAAUACCGGAUAUGACCUCUCACCGCAUGGUGGGUGGUGGAAAGAUUUUAUCGGUUGGGGAUGGGCUCGCGGCCUAUCAGCUUGUUGGUGAGGUAAUGGCUUACCAAGGCGACGACGGGUAGCCGGCCUGAGAGGGUGACCGGCCACACUGGGACUGAGACACGGCCCAGACUCCUACGGGAGGCAGCAGUGGGGAAUAUUGCACAAUGGGCGCAAGCCUGAUGCAGCGACGCCGCGUGAGGGAUGACGGCCUUCGGGUUGUAAACCUCUUUCAGUAGGGAAGAAGCCCUUUUGGGGUGACGGUACUUGCAGAAGAAGCGCCGGCUAACUACGUGCCAGCAGCCGCGGUAAUACGUAGGGCGCGAGCGUUAUCCGGAUUUAUUGGGCGUAAAGAGCUCGUAGGCGGUUUGUCGCGUCUGCCGUGAAAGACCAGGGCUCAACCCUGGUUCUGCGGUGGGUACGGGCAGACUAGAGUGAUGUAGGGGAGACUGGAAUUCCUGGUGUAGCGGUGAAAUGCGCAGAUAUCAGGAGGAACACCGAUGGCGAAGGCAGGUCUCUGGGCAUUUACUGACGCUGAGGAGCGAAAGCAUGGGGAGCGAACAGGAUUAGAUACCCUGGUAGUCCAUGCCGUAAACGUUGGGCACUAGGUGUGGGGGACAUUCCACGUUUUCCGCGCCGUAGCUAACGCAUUAAGUGCCCCGCCUGGGGAGUACGGCCGCAAGGCUAAAACUCAAAGGAAUUGACGGGGGCCCGCACAAGCGGCGGAGCAUGCGGAUUAAUUCGAUGCAACGCGAAGAACCUUACCAAGGCUUGACAUGUUCCAGAUCGCUCUAGAGAUAGGGUUUCCCUUUGGGGCUGGUUCACAGGUGGUGCAUGGUUGUCGUCAGCUCGUGUCGUGAGAUGUUGGGUUAAGUCCCGCAACGAGCGCAACCCUCGUUCCAUGUUGCCAGCACGUUGUGGUGGGGACUCAUGGGAGACUGCCGGGGUCAACUCGGAGGAAGGUGGGGAUGACGUCAAAUCAUCAUGCCCCUUAUGUCUUGGGCUUCACGCAUGCUACAAUGGCCGGUACAAUGGGUUGCGAUACUGUGAGGUGGAGCUAAUCCCUAAAAGCCGGUCUCAGUUCGGAUUGGGGUCUGCAACUCGACCCCAUGAAGUCGGAGUCGCUAGUAAUCGCAGAUCAGCAACGCUGCGGUGAAUACGUUCCCGGGCCUUGCACUCACCGCC